UGAAUGGAAGUGCGUCCGCUCACUCUGCUGCGCAGAAGUACUGCUGCUCAGAAGAAAUGCCAUGCUGUGCAGAGAUGCAUGACGGGGCAUGUUCAGUAGCAAGCGGUAAAUUGCCCCGUUGGCAGCAUAUGGCAGGAUGUUCGAUUGUGCAUCAAGAAUUCAGCAUAUAAAGUUUGUAUGAAGAUACCUUGUAACUGGAGAUUCUUUCAAAACGAUUGCCUACAGUUACAGUGUAGGGCACUGCAAGGUUGGGUGACCAGAGCCAUCUGGGACUGCCUCCUGGGGGAAUUCAGGUGUGUGAAGGCUACCUGUGUCCUGCAUAACUUCAUGAGGAUAGACACGAGGACCAGGAGGGGAUCUGCAGCUUGCCGCCGUGUGUCAGAGGAAUAGUCUGCUGCUCUGCAGGAUGUUUCAAGGAUGGGUUCCAACAACGCAGCAAGAGAGGCAAUCCUUGUGCAGGAGAUCUUCACCUCCUACUUCUUUGAAGAAAAUGUUAUGGGAUUCACACCAUUGGUUUUUGUUGGUAGUCUCUUUUGGCUACUGUCUAAAACUAAGGGUACAAUGUCAGCGUUGACUGUAAACGCGUGCUGGAAGUUGCACAAAAUUAUCAUAAUGUUCAAGUUUCUGCUCACAAGACCUAAAAUUUGCUCAGUGCCCCACAAAAAUUUGAGGGAACGUUGCUUGGGGGCUAGGUCUGUUUGCAUUUUAAUAGAUGUCAUUCCAAUGCCAUUUCAAUCCAUUUAGGUGGAACAGCCUGAUACAAUAGGAGAACAUGUCCCUUUCAGUCAGCUCUUUUGAACAUGUGUGACUUCCAAACUUGAAGUGUGAUGGUUAUCAAUCACCAACCAUCUACCUUAAUGGUCCAGUUUUGCUAAUAGGCUAGUUACUGGUUGGUAUAUUUGGUUGGCAUAGGGUGCCUUCGGAAAGUAUUCAGACCCCUUGACUGUUUUACACAUUUUGUAAAAUUACAGCCUUAUUCUAAAAUACAAAAUAAAAUUGAAAAAAAUGUCAGCAAUCUACAUACAAUACCCCAUAAUGACGAAGCGAAAAUAUAUUUUUUUAGAAAUUUUGCAAAUGUGUUAAAAAUAAAAACAGAAAUAUCCUAUUUACAUAAGUAUUCAGACCCUUUGCUAUGAGACUCGAAAUUGAGCUCAAGUGUAUCCUGUUUGCAUUGAUCAUCCUUGAGCUGUUUCUCCAACAUGAUUGGAGUCUGCCUUUGGUAAAUUCAAUUGAUUGGACAUGAUUUGGAAAGGUACACACCUAUAUAUAUUUCAUACAUUUUAGAAUAAGGCUGUCAUGUAAAAAUGGGGGUCUGGAUACUUUCUGAAGGCACUGUAUCUGCCCUGCUCUGUACAUUAGACAUUAGUCCUUAGUGGCAAAUAUCCAUGAAAAAAAUAUUGAGGUUGAAAAUAUAACUGUAUUCCACUAAAAUGCUAAAUGCUUAAAUUUGAAUAAGUAAAGGCUAACACAGUAAAUGCUAACAUUUUAGCCAGAAUGCUACCGACAAUAGCCCUUUUCUGACCACAAACAGGUCCCUCAGCCAACCAGUUAGUUAUGGGAAUCUAUCCUACUGUUUUCACUGGUGGGCUUUAGAGGAAUUCCUGCCACGUGACUACGCUAGCCAAGAUUCAGAGAUUUCCCAUGCCUUUUUUCUCCUUCAGUCAUCACCAGCAAAUGGCUACUGUCAGCUACUAAUCUGUGCUUAUGCCAGAAUUACUUUUAUUUGUACAAACAUUUACUCUGCUACAGACGGGAAGACAUCCGGCACCAUUUGAAAAACCCCCAUAUCCACAGAGAAUGAGCAGCAUUCUUCAUUCUUUCGCCAGGCAAUAGAAGGCUUCCUUUUUCAGAGUAACACUAAGGGAAUAUCUUAGUGUGAUUUCUGACAUCCCAUUCUGGCUAUUCUUUUCAGAUAGUCUCUGAAGACACUAACAAGAGAUGUUUCAAAGAGAUCAUUUAAACGAGGAAAUACAGUGAAAGCUAUGAGAGCUACUUUCAAAUGUUUUUCACCAACAUUAAAUAAACUUCUACAAGGUUCAA